CCGGUCCUCCGACGCGAGCGCGCGCGCGCCCGCUUCCCGAAACACACCCACAGCGCGCACGGGGCGGCGCGGAAAGGGAGAGACUCAGCCGCGGGCCCGCCCCUCCGUCGCGGCCUAACGCCGCCACCAAUCAGCGACGAGUGAGGGAGGGGCGGGGUUUGUUGUGGAAGACCCACCCCCUCCUCUUCUAAAUUGCUUCUCCGACCUUUGGGUUCAGAGAAUUGGGAACCGGUCGUUCGCUGUCCUUUUUCGGUUCUUUGGUCAGAGGUCUGGGACUGCGACUUCUUGAUUACUUAUGUACCAUUUAUUUUCACUUGAAACCGGCAGCAAGUUAAGGUGGUUUAGAAUCUGUCCUGACGGGUGGCGUUUGGAAGCAGCACUUUACAAAACGCCUGGUCCUCUCCCUUCUUUGUCAAACCUGGUCAAAGUUAGGACUUGAGCUUUUUUUGGAGGAUCUGAGGAGCAGUGGGGAGUGGGGAAUUAGCCGCCCAAGUCCUUAAAGCUGUCACGUGCAUCAGUAUUUCCACCUCCAACGUCAGUCCAAUUCCUAUUAAUGCUUUGCUUUGUAUGGAUAGCUAAAGAUGUUUUAGAAGAUAAGGGUUGAGGCUACCGAUCCUAAGUAUUUGCAUUUUAACAUGGUGAUUUCUGAUAAAUAAAAGGAUAACCUUUCUGGGUUCUUAGGAGCAAAGAAGAUAAUGGCUGCGGAAUUGCUCUACAGCAUAAUGUAUAAGAAUUUCGUUGGGUCAUUAAUAAAUAAUGCAAUUAUUUUAUCACAUUUUCAAUAUCCUGAAGGGCAUUAGGGUUCAAACCGAGCCAAUCCUGACUCUGAUUAUACUAUCUGCCAAAACCUUUGUUCCUUUCACAGCUAAGGGUUUUUAUAAAAAUGGAUUCAGGGUCUGCUGAAAUAAAUUUUUUUUAAAAAUUUCAGUCCAUAAACCAAACAAAAAUAUCUGUCCUGGAAUGUGAUCAGGAACAAACCAGAAAACUGUGAACAUCUGAUCUUGAUACUGGCUUAUGUUGUCUCUUGUUAAGCUUUUGCUUCUUUGCAUUAUUCAUGACCAUUCAAUUAAUUUUUGUAUAGCCAUACAGGUAGGAUUAUUACCAAGUGCCUACCGUGUACCAGGAAUAGUUCUAAGCCUUGAGAAUACAGCACUAAUAAGGCAGACUCCCUGCUCAAAUAGAGCCAACUAAUGAAAAAUCGAUAAAAUAGAGACUAAAGAGAGAUCCUUAGUUGCGUUUAAAAUCUUAGUUUUUAACUUCCAGGCUGGCACAGUUUGUUAACAAAAAAAGAAAAAAAAGGAUUUUUAUUGAAUGCCAUCUAUACUGCAAGUGAUACAGAGAUUGUACUGAUCACUUUCUACACUCAAAAGUAUAUAAUCAGGUAGAGUUAAUAAAAUAAAAACAAAUCUGAAAUGUAAAACAAAAAAAUACCCUGGGAAGUUACAUAGCAAAGGAGGAAGGAAUUACAGCCCUGGUAAUGUGGGACAACACAGUGUGCAAAUUAUUUAACACAAAGCCUAAACAAGACACAUUAUUAUUAUAGCAUGUUUUAGGGAAAUAAUUCUUGUUGUUGAACUGCAAGUACAGGUAUAUCUAAGAGAUACUCAGAAGGCUGGUCCUGAUAAACAAUGCAUGUAUAAAAGAGUAAGCAGAAAUAAGCCUGGAAAGGUAAGUUAUGGUAGAAAACCAGGUCAAGAAGUUGACUUUAUAUCAGGGAAAUUACAUGUAAAACAAGCAUCGCUACACAGGCAACCAUUUACCAGUUAUAUGUGGAGAGUGAGUGAUGGACCCAAAAGGAAGACUGAUAGGAGGGGCAUUUCGGAAACAAACUCUAUGUUACUUAGCAACUGCCUAAAUAAGAGUGGGGGUCUGCAAAGCAUAGAGUGAAUGCAGAUUGUGAACACUCAAAUGAAACUAGUAUUAUUAUUAUGACACCACAGUUUUUAACUUGACUUACUGGUAGUGCUAAAAACACAUAAAAGUCCACAAAAAGAGCAGGAGAGGGAUGGGAUAGGGAAUUUUCUUAUUCUGUUUUAUUUUUCCAAGUGUUUCUUUAGAUUUUCUAGACAUUUAUAUCACCUACAUUAGAUAUCAUUUUGCCUUUUCCGUUCCAAUUAUUAUAUUUCCAAUUGUUUAUUCAUUUCAGUAGCUAAUAUUUCCAACAUGAUAUUCAGUCAGAUGGGGACAACUGAUAUCUUUUUGUUCCUGAUUUGAGCAGGAAAUUUCCUUUCAUUUCUCCAUCAAGUAAGAUGUUGGCUUUGAGAUGGAAAUUGUGUGUGUGUGUGUACAUGUAUCAUUAUAUAAUAUAUAUUGCAUAUUGAUAGGAAAUAUCUAUUCCUAUUGGGAAAUUUUUAAAAAUAUAAACAAGUGCUAAAUUGUUUUCAGAUGCAUUUUCCCUAUCUUAUUUCCUCUACUUCUUUCCUCUAUCUUAUUUCCUCUGCUUAUUUAAUGGGUUAUAUGAAUAGAUUUUAUAAUAUUGGCCCAGUAAGCAUUCCUGGAAUAAACUCCACCUGGUCAUGAUGAAUUAGUUUUUAAUAUGCUCUUGUGCUUUCUU
rnacentral:lncRNA from 1 species